rnacentral:lncRNA from 7 species
AGUGAGACCAUUCCUGCUGUUUCUGAAUCAAAAUGCCAGAGAACUUCUCUGCCUGCAUCAGAGCAAGGAGGCCCCGACAUCCUGCUCCGUGAGCCUGCUUGGAAGGACAUGGCAUUUUUCACCCACUGAGCAGGGGCGCCACAGGGCAGGACGGGGAUCAGGCACUGGGGAUCAGGCAUUAGAGACGGGGGAGCAGGGAGCAGGGCAGGACGGCACUCGGCGUGGGAGGGAUGGGCCGCGUAUCCCGGUUUUUGUGGUGGUGCCAGCGGUACUAAGCACGGCGGUGCAAGCACUGGGAUAGCUGCAGAACGGCACAGAUGGCCCUUCCUGACACGGUGGAGAUUUAAUGGCACCAAAACUCCAACUCUUCUCUCUGGAAAAGAGAUAUCUCAUCUUCGAAAUCACCGGGAAGUUACAGAAGUGGAGCUUUUAAUGGCACCCACCAUACCUAUAUUGAUGUUUAACAUCUCAGCCUCGACUCUAAGGCACUGCUAAUUAAUCUGGAUGGAGUCAGCCAGGCGCCCUGAAACCUCGGCGCAGCCUGUCUCCAAGUGCAGCACUCAAGACUUGAGGCAGUGGGCUCAGGACACGACCAAUAUCCCCUGUGACAACACCAUCAGGAUGUGUUUCCUGGCUUGACCAUGUGUGAGCCCCACAGCCUCUCGCAGGGGAGAGAAGAGUUGAGAAGAGCAGAACAGUGCUGUCCCAGGACAGAGGACUGCCAGCACGCCUGCCCUGGAGAAUGAAUUUAGAACAGGGCUUUUUCCUUGCAAAGGCCGUGGUGCAUCUCCUCGAUACAGUGAGUCCAUAGUGAUGAAUGGGUGUCUGGAGCCCUUUCCCAGCCAGCCCACGAAAAUUCCUGGACGACAUCGUGCUGUGAAGCUCCAGGUCUUUGCUGUCACAGGUCGGAGGAACGCCAAGGCCACGUCUGGCAGGCAUCAGGGGACCAGCCGCAGCCGCCCCCAGAAGCAGCAUGAGCCCCGGAGCCAGGCACAGCCCUCCCACGUCUCCUUUGUGCCUCAAGACGCCCGGCCCCGCACCCACCCCCCAAGGGCUGCUUUCCCUGUUGAUAAUCCAUUAUCUACAUUUAAUGCCUCGCUGACGUCCUUCCCUUUGUCUGAUGGUGAAACCUCGACCAGAUGUGAAGCUUCUUAUGUUACUAAUGGCAAAUCCUUUUGCAAUAGCUGGUUGGAAAAUGGGGAAACUGUUUUCAUGAAGUGAAAAUUGAAACAUUGGAGUAAUUUUCAUUCUGCAAGCC